UACGUAGGGGGGCGAGCGUUGUCCGGAUUUAUUGGGCGUAAAGAGCGUGUAGGCGCCAGGUAGGUCUGCUGUGAAAACUCGAGGCUCAACCUCGAGACGUCGGCGGAAACCAUCUGGCUAGAGUCCGGAAGAGGAGAGUGGAAUUCCUCGGUGUAGCGGUGAAAUGCGCAGAUAUCAGGAAGAACACCCGUGGCGAAGGCGGCUCUCUGGGACGGUACUGACGCUGAGACGCGAAAGCGUGGGAGCGAACAGG
rnacentral:rRNA from 1 species